GUGAAAUCUGUUUAGUAUCACAUUCAUUGUUAUCGAUACAUUAUUUCUUUGAUGCUGGAAGGUGAAUAUGUGACAAUGAGCACAGGUUCCGCUACUGUGUAGAAGUUAUAUAACACUGAAUUGUUAGUAUUUUGGAAUUCAGAGUGCAUGUGAUAUACAUUCUUACACUUGAAGAAUUAUAAUUAUAAAUUCAUGAAACAUUUAAUAGUAUUUACUCUAGGUAGAGUUCCCAAAUACAGCAUACGUAGUUACUUGAUUUGCAUCAACUUAUCCAGUGAGCUUAGUGGUUAGGAUUUGUGAUAUUGAUAAGUAAGAUAAAGUGGUACUAUAGUAUGAUACUGCUGUGGAUGUUUUCUUUUGUGACAGCGAACUCUUUAUAGAGGAUUCAUGUCAGGUGCUUCUUUUCUUGCCCAUUCUCUAUGUGCUUUUGGUAUUGGACCCCCACUCCCCCCAUCCCCGUACCCACCCACACAAAAAGAGCUAACUAAGAAUAGCCCAUGUGCCAUUUUGUCAUUUAGAUUUGCAUCUUAAAUGUUGAUUAUUUUAUGAAAUACUGUGUACACAACACGAGGACAGUCCACUCUGACUUAACUUACUGAGUCACUUGAGUAUUCAGCUCAUGGAGCAGAUUUAUAUGUCACCGUGCAAACUUUGUUUUAAAGAAAAAUGGUCUUAUGCUGCUGAAAACUUGUCGCUUAAGUUAUAUGUCGUAGAAAGAAAUUGGUACACUCAAAUACCAUCCAAAGUCUGCUCGGUUAUACUUUAUUACUCACGGUAAGGUCCCAUACUUGGAGGAGAUGAGAAAGAAGAAAGUUGAAAGAUGGGACCAAUUUGUUGAUGUCAUAGAGCAAAUUAAGAAGGUUGCAUCUGAAAUCAGGCCUGCAGAUUUUGUACCCUUUAGAAUUCAUGUGGAUCAGUCUGAUCAGUCUUUAAGAAAGCUGGAGGAGCUAACGAAAGAGCUGCAAUCCCUUCAGAAGGAGAAGAGUGAUCGGCUGAAGCAAGUCAUGGAACAUCUUAACACUUUGCAUUCGUUAUGCGAGGUGCUUGGUGUAGACUUCAAACAAACAGUAAAUGAGGUGCACCCUAGCCUGGGUGAGGCUGAUGAAUCAAAGAACCUAAGCAACUGUACAAUUGAAAGCCCUGCAUCAGCUACAAGCAGACUGCGUGAAUUGAAAGUCCAGAGGAUGCAAAAGCUUCAAGAUUUGGCCUCUAGCAUGCUUGAACUUUGGAAUCUCAUGGAUACACCACUUGAAGAACAGCAGAUGUUCCAGAAUGUAACGUGCAAUAUUGCUGCUUCUGAACAUGAAAUAACUGAGCCUAACACCCUCUCUAUUGACUUCCUCAGCUACGUGGAAUCUGAAGUUUUAAGACUCGAGCAACUUAAAGCGAGCAAGAUGAAAGACCUUGUUAUAAAAAAGAAGACAGAACUGGAAGAGCAUAGGAGACGUGCUCAUUUGUUUGGCGAGGAAGGCUAUGCAGCUGAAUUUCGCGAUGAGGCUAUUGAGGCAGUUGGAUGACACAAUCAUCAAAACCAUUGAGACUGCUCCCAACAAUGAACUGAAAAAAGCAAAAGAAAUCAUUCAACGUAUUCGCCGAAGAGAACUUUACAAGGUGCAUAGGAUAUUCAUCAUCGCACGAAGGCGAAGCACAUUGAGAUUGAAAUCCACUUCAUCCGUAAAAAGGUUGCUUUGUGGCACCUUCGAGUGCUACAUGUCCCUUCUGCACAUCAGUCCAUGGACAUCAUGACUUAGGGACUGUCUGUACAGUUGUUUAGUGACUUUCAGUCCAGUCUAUGCGUCCAGUUCUCUCCAGAUGUGAAUGCGGGACGGGUAUUAGAGAUAUGUAUAGUCUAGAGAUAUGUAUGUACUUGUAUUUC